rnacentral:lncRNA from 1 species
CAAGGGCCGCAGGGGCAAUAGACGAUUUCAAUGGUGGAGCUGUUGUCGGUGGGGAAGACGCAAAGGUCAAGCUUAAGUGAAGGAGAGGGGGAUGAAUGACAGUUGUCGUGCCCCGUGCAAGUGAAGGGGAGGGUCGAAGGAGGAGAAGGGUUUACGGAGGAGAGAGGCCAUCCGUGGCUUGCAAAAAGUGUGAAGAAAGCAGUCGGAGAAGAGGGAGAGGGCAAGGAGAUGAACACAUAUUAUUCAAUGGAUGAGCUUUCAAUUAAUUGCAU